GCGCGAAAACUUUACAAUGCGGGAAACCGUGAUAAGGGGACACCGAGUGCCAGCAUCAUAUGCUGGCUGUCCAGGUGUGUAAAAUACACCUGUCAGCAAGGGCCGGGCAAGACCGGUGCCAGCCGCCGCGGUAACACCGGCGGCCCGAGUGGUGAUCGUGAUUAUUGGGUCUAAAGGGUCCGUAGCCGGUUUGGUCAGUCCUCCGGGAAAUCUGACGGCUCAACCGUUAGGCUUUCGGGGGAUACUGCCAGGCUUGGAACCGGGAGAGGUAAGAGGUACUACAGGGGUAGGAGUGAAAUCUUGUAAUCCCUGUGAGACCACCUGUGGCGAAGGCGUCUUACCAGAACGGGUUCGACGGUGAGGGACGAAAGCUGGGGGCACGAACCGG
rnacentral:rRNA from 1 species